GUCUUUACAGAGUCUGCGUUAACGUCAGUUGGUUUCACUCCGGGACGUGCUAGUCUCACAGUCUAGUUUUGUUCAGACUUUAUUUUGCGCCAAGCCGCAUCACAAGCCACUCGUCCACGCUGCAAAAGGUGGAGGCAGGGAUUGGGGUGACGGGCUCUUUUGCUCUCCCCCACCCCCUUCAUAUACGUGAAGCAAUUUGGAAUCGUUCCACUUGGCUUUGGCGCGCGCGCGGACACACACACUCACACACACACACACACACACACGCACACACGCACACACGUGUACCGUGCAUGUGUGAGCGCCUGUGGAUCUGUGUAUGCGCGCGUUUGUGAUUUAAAGUGACAGAACCAAGAGCCGGACUGAAGCAGUGAAUUAUUUUGCGUGAUAAAUCAACUUGAUUGUCUCCACGCUAUGCUUCCAUUAUUCAUCCGAGUGUUCGGUGGUUACGGCGGACGUGCACUGCGGCAAAAAUGUCCUCGGAGCCGCUAAUUUUGUGGCCACUGCGGCGGCGGCGGCGCGGGGGCGCGAGCACGGAUUGAUUUUUCAAGAUUGCGUCUCCUUGAGUGCAACUUGCCAAAUGGAAACGAGUUGACUGCAGAAGUCUCAGAGGAUGUAUGUGGAUUGGGUUUUGUACCUGCAUUUUUGUUUUUGUUUUGUUUUGUUUUUUAAUAAAUAAAUAUUUUUUUUUUACCUUUGCGGGAAAGAACCAAGCUGUUGGUAGUGCAGAAAGGGAGAUAAAGCUUUUCUGUUUUAUUUUCCCCUUAAAUAUAUAUAUAUAUAUAUGAAAAUGGCCACCACAGCUUUUGCUUUUUGAGCUUUGGGGAGGCCAUACCUUUGCAGAUAUGGAGAUGACGCUUUGAAUCCUGUUUCUUCCUUCUCUCACUUCCUCCUUGUUCGUUCUCCGUCCUUGUCAGCUUUGCUACAGCCACCGGAGAGAAAUGUUCAUAGACACUUGUGGGGGUCGUUUGUCCUCACUUGCUUUUUUCUUCUGACAAGUGGUUAUCAUUUUUUUUCCUUUAAAAACUGAUCCUUUUUUGUCUGUUU
rnacentral:lncRNA from 1 species